ACGAACGCUGGCGGCGUGCUUAACACAUGCAAGUCGAACGAGAAUCACUGGAAGGAGUUUUCGGACAACGGAAGGUGAGGACAGUGGCGGACGGGUGAGUAACGCGUGAGGAACCUGCCUUUCAGAGGGGGACAACAGUUGGAAACGACUGCUAAUACCGCAUGACACAUAGAGAUCGCAUGGUUUUUAUGUCAAAGAUUUAUCGCUGAAAGAUGGCCUCGCGUCUGAUUAGCUAGUUGGUGAGGUAACGGCCCACCAAGGCGACGAUCAGUAGCCGGACUGAGAGGUUGACCGGCCACAUUGGGACUGAGAUACGGCCCAGACUCCUACGGGAGGCAGCAGUGGGGAAUAUUGGGCAAUGGGCGCAAGCCUGACCCAGCAACGCCGCGUGAAGGAAGAAGGCUUUCGGGUUGUAAACUUCUUUUGUCGGGGACGAGUAGAAGACGGUACCUGGCGAAUAAGCCACGGCUAACUACGUGCCAGCAGCCGCGGUAAUACGUAGGUGGCAAGCGUUGUCCGGAUUUACUGGGUGUAAAGGGCGUGUAGCCGGGAAGGCAAGUCAGAUGUGAAAUCCACGGGCUUAACUCGUGAACUGCAUUUGAAACUACUUUUCUUGAGUAUCGGAGAGGCAAUCGGAAUUCCUAGUGUAGCGGUGAAAUGCGUAGAUAUUAGGAGGAACACCAGUGGCGAAGGCGGAUUGCU
rnacentral:rRNA from 1 species